rnacentral:hammerhead_ribozyme from 1 species
AUCCAGCUGACGAGUCCCUAAUGGGAGGAAGCGUGUGUCCUGGAU